GUUUCCUUGACAAUAGCCAUAUAGAUGCUGCUAUAACCAUGGGAAUGGUGCUCCUGAAUGAAGCUGCUACGUCCAAAGGCGAUGUUGGAAAAAGGAGAAUAAUAUGCCUGGUAGGCCUGGGUCUGGUGGUCUUUUUCUUCAGCUUCCUGUUGUCAAUAUUUCGCUCCAAAUACCAUGGCUACCCCUAUAGCUUCUUAAUUAAAUGAAUUCAAGAGGGAUUCAUUUAGAGCUGUUUCCUGUGAAGAUAAGCUGUUACUUAUUAUCUGCUUACCACUGUUACAUGUAUUUCAGAAUAUUUUAUUGGUUUAUCUGUUUUUGUGAUAAGUUAUAUAGUAUGCUGACAAAUGAGUGCAGUUUUAUGCAAUGAAUGCUUAAUUUAUAGAAAUGUACCAUAAAGAUCCCAUUGGGAAGCGUUAAAAUUAUGAAUAGAGUAUACUCAGUGGUCAAACGUUUAAAUAAAGUUCAUUGUAAUGGG